AUUGAACGCUGGCGGCAGGCCUAACACAUGCAAGUCGAACGGUAACAGGAAACAGCUUGCUGUUUCGCUGACGAGUGGCGGACGGGUGAGUAAUGUCUGGGAAACUGCCUGGUGGAGGGGGAUAACUACUGGAAACGGUAGCUAAUACCGCAUAACGUCGCAAGACCAAAGAGGGGGACCUUCGGGCCUCUUGCCAUCGGAUGUGCCCAGAUGGGAUUAGCUAGUAGGUGGGGUAACGGCUCACCUAGGCGACGAUCCCUAGCUGGUCUGAGAGGAUGACCAGCCACACUGGAACUGAGACACGGUCCAGACUCCUACGGGAGGCAGCAGUGGGGAAUAUUGCACAAUGGGCGCAAGCCUGAUGCAGCCAUGCCGCGUGUAUGAAGAAGGCCUUCGGGUUGUAAAGUACUUUCAGCGGGGAGGAAGGGAGUAAAGUUAAUACCUUUACUCAUUGACGUUACCCGCAGAAGAAGCACCGGCUAACUCCGUG
rnacentral:rRNA from 1 species